rnacentral:lncRNA from 1 species
AUUGGGAGAGAGCAUGUUUACAGAAGGAAUCAAGCUGAAGAGAGCUCAUGAAUGCGAGUCUUAUUUUCAGCAUGACUGGUGUCCUUGUAAAAGGGAAGUUUGGACACAGAUAAACGCAGAGUGAGCACAGCGUGAAGACGUGAGGGGGAUGCCGUUGGCACGCCGAGGCCAUGGAGGAUCGCUGCCGGUGGCCAGCAGAAGCCAGGAAAGGGCCCUGUAACAGAGACCUCAGAGGGAACUUCCGGCUCCAGAAGUGACAGACAAGACGUUUCUGUCCGUGGUGCAUUGCUGCACCAGCCCCAGGAAACUGACACAGUGGACUGGAAGGCCCUACGGGUCUCCAGAGGCCUGGAGACCACAGCAUGGGAGACAAGGAGGGUGAAGUUGCUCCAGAGCGAGGACACACCAAGGCCCUGAACAGUAAGGAGUAGACCACAGUAUAUGGCAAUAUUUUAAACUGAUUCUUUUUUCUUUUCUUUUUUUGCAUUAAAAUUCAUGUGCUGGAAGGAAAUUUGAAAAAAAAAUUACUUGUUAGCAAUUUCUGACUGUGGCUUGCAUAUCAAGUUCCCUAGAGAAAACUUAAAUUCUAAAUCCACAAUAAAGCCUGAGUUAAUAGGGCCA